rnacentral:lncRNA from 1 species
GUGAGGCCUAUAAUACAAUGCUGCAUGGUUACCAGCUUCAAAAACAAAGGGCAAAACCAGCUAUUUAUCAGCGCUACUGUCACAGCUCACCAAGGAAUCGCCAUUGCACACAUACAAGCAUUUCCAGGUUCUGUCUCUGAUGGGGACUGUUGAAGAGCCAAGACUCAGAGCACUGGAUGACACACACUUAAGAAUCACAGAAGAAGAAGAAGAAGAAGAAGAAGAAGAAGAAGAAGAAGAAGAAGAAGAAGAAGAAGAAGAAGAAGAAGAAGAAGAAGUACAUCCCCGAGACAACCACCAUCAGAGUCCCUGAAUAUUGGCAUUGGUUUAUCUCGUAAUUCCUACUGCAUUGUCUUCACCUCUGGAUGGUUCUGAUGAAUUUGUCAAGAAGUAGAACCAGGGAGUGAACUCCUGGAAUCCAUUCAGAGGCUCAGCCUCACCGAGAUGGAAUCUGGAUCCCCUGGUCUGUAGUAGAAGUGAGAAGUAAGGACUUUGAAAUCUGUGAUUGAAAGUCACAAUCCAAGUUGUGGACACACUUUGGGAACUUCAUAGGAAGGCAGAGUCUCGAGGAUUGGGAGUUCAAAAAAAGACCAAGGUCUCUCAGAAUGGCCUUUUGGGUCAUGUCGUAAGGUACAAACUACAAAUGAAGAUCAUUUAUUAGAAGUACUCUCUUGGCUUCAUCUUGUAAGAUAAAGAUGUCUUGAUUUAGAGACUAUCCCUUCCUGGGGAGACAGAAGCCUCUACAGUAUGGUUUCACUUAUGUUUUGCUACAUAAAACCAUUGUCACUUUUAUCUAUAUUUCUUUCUGAUAUUAGAAAUUGGAGAGAUGGUUAUUCUACUUGAAGGCACUCCAAGAUUUAUAAAUCAAUGAAUUAAUUGCGUUUGUAAUUAUAGUUGUCUGGAGUUUGGACAUAAACUCAAGGGAGAAUUUUUGUGUUUCCCACAUUUGCAGGACAUGUUCACAUCUGCUAUGAGUAUGUAUUUGUGAUGAAAAUACCCCCCACCACUAUUUUGUUUGUUUUUCAAGAUAGGGUUUGUCUGUGUAGCCCUGGCUGUCCUUGGAACUCCCUCUGUAGACCAGGGUGGCCUUGAACUCAGAAAUCUGUCUGCUCUGUCUCCUGAGUGCUGGGAUUAAGGGUGUGCACCACCAUUAUCUAGCUGAAAAUAAACACAUUUAAAUUUUUUAUAAACACAUUUUUUAAAGGAAGCCCAAAGCAUUGUUCCUUGUAUGAAACACGUUUGUGGGAUACAGUCUUUAUAGCUUUCAUCUUCUUUUGUGUUGACAUG